rnacentral:rRNA from 1 species
AACGAACGCUGGCGGCAUGCCUAACACAUGCAAGUCGAACGAGACCUUCGGGUCUAGUGGCGCACGGGUUCGUAACGCGUGGGAACCUGCCCUUAGGUUCGGAAUAACUCCCCGAAAGGGGUGCUAAUACCGGAUAAUGUCUUCGGACCAAAGAUUUAUCGCCUUUGGAUGGGCCCGCGUUGGAUUAGCUAGUUGGUAGGGUAAAAGCCUACCAAGGCGACGAUCCAUAGCUGGUCUGAGAGGAUGAUCAGCCACACUGGGACUGAGACACGGCCCAGACUCCUACGGGAGGCAGCAGUGGGGAAUAUUGGACAAUGGGCGAAAGCCUGAUCCAGCAAUGACGCGUGAGUGAUGAAGGCAUUAGGGUUGUAAAGCUCUUUUAACCGGGAUGAUAAUGACAGUACCGGGAGAAUAAGCUCCGGCUAACUCCGUG